GGGGCCAUAGCUCAGUUGGGAGAGCGCAACACUGGCAGUGUUGAGGUCGGCGGUUCGAGCCCGCCUGGCUCCACCA
rnacentral:tRNA from 1 species